AUGAAGCUCAGGGAUCGAUCUAUCUCAUUAGCAAAUACACUGGGUAUAGUGAUACAUGGCUGUAAGAGCAGUCAGAAAUUCAUGGUCAUUUUCAACUGUUCAUGCUACCCUAGUCAGGGACCAGCCUCAGCUGGGAGAGGUGGUCUUGAGGAAGGGGAGUUUGAGAGCCAGGAAGAAACAACUUGAAGUCAAUCCUGGGUACAAGAGGACAGUUCUGUACUCUGCUCCAGAUGGCUCCCUAGACAGCUCUGCUGUCUUUCAUUUAUGUAUCAGUUCAGUCGUUUACCCAGAUUCCCCUCUGACCAUCCCAUAGAUCUGCGUUUUAUGACCUGAUUCUUAGAAGACAGCAAGUACACUUUUUUUUUUUUUUUUUUGGUUCUUUUUUUCGGAGCUGGGGACCGAACCCAGGGCCUUGCGCUUCCUAGGCAAGCGCUCUACCACUGAGCUAAAUCCCCAACCCCGCAAGUACACUUUUUUAAACAUGGCAAAUGAGUUCAGAGAUCUGUCUGCCUUUGCAAGCACAGACAAUAAGCUGGCUGGGUGGGAUCUUGCCCUGCUAUCACCACUCUGCUUAUCUCGUGCCUUAAUCUCUUUCUGACAAGCUGGUUCUCAUGUAAUUCAUAUUGCAUCCUUAUGUUUUUCAUAGCUGAGAAAUCCUGUUUAUAUAUUUUUGAACUUGUGUUUUCAGAGUUCUUUCCCACACAGCCUUAAGGGCUGUCCUGAAGACCUCAGCAUCACAAAGACACACUCUCACUUCCUAGAGUCAUGCUGUUCUUUAUUAUC
rnacentral:lncRNA from 1 species